rnacentral:rRNA from 1 species
GGACGAACGCUGGCGGCGUGCUUAACACAUGCAAGUCGAACGGAAAGGCCCUGCUUUUGUGGGGUGCUCGAGUGGCGAACGGGUGAGUAACACGUGUGUAACCUGCCCUUGACUUUGGGAUAACUUCAGGAAACUGGGGCUAAUACCGGAUAGGAGCUCCUGCUGCAUGGUGGGGGUUGGAAAGUUUCGGCGGUUGGGGAUGGACUCGCGGCUUAUCAGCUUGUUGGUGGGGUAGUGGCUUACCAAGGCUUUGACGGGUAGCCGGCCUGAGAGGGUGACCGGCCACAUUGGGACUGAGAUACGGCCCAGACUCCUACGGGAGGCAGCAGUGGGGAAUAUUGCACAAUGGGCGGAAGCCUGAUGCAGCAACGCCGCGUGCGGGAUGACGGCCUUCGGGUUGUAAACCGCUUUCGCCUGUGACGAAGCGUGAGUGACGGUAAUGGGUAAAGAAGCACCGGCUAACUACGUG